AUUUGACGUUACCUACAGAAGAAGCACCGGCUAACUCCGUGCCAGCAGCCGCGGUAAUACGGAGGGUGCGAGCGUUAAUCGGAAUUACUGGGCGUAAAGCGCAUGCAGGCGGCCUGUUAAGUCAGAUGUGAAAGACCCGGGGCGUUAACCUCGGAAAUUGCAUUUUGAAAACUGGCAGGCUAGAGUCUUGUAGAGGGGGUAGAAUUUCAGGUGUAGCGGUGAAAAUGCGUAGAGAUCUGAAGGAAUACCAGUGGCGAAGGCGGCCCCCUGGACAAAGACUGACGCUCAGAUGCGAAAGCGUGGGGAGCAAACAGGAUUAGAUACCCUGGUAG
rnacentral:rRNA from 1 species